rnacentral:antisense_RNA from 1 species
GUAGGUAACAGGUACCAGCUACCGUCAGCAGAGAGGAAUGUAUGUGGUGACCACGAGUCCAGACCUGAGGGUCCUGAUCCUCUAAUGCGGCCUUUCACCAGUGUUCACAGAAACCCACCUGCUGAUUCGAUACGGGGACCAGGAACCUGCCGUAAGAGUCACGACUCAUUCUGCCUGCACCCACAUGAUUAAAAAGCUUUAUUGCUCACACAAAGCCUGUUUGGUGGUCUCUUCACAUGAAUGCACGCUUCCCUGUUGUCUGGAGGAAAAAGAAAAAAGAGAACCAGACUUAGACAGAACUUCUUGUGGGCACAUAUUCAGAAGGCAUCUCACUGGAGAGGGUUUAGUUCUCCUUAGCAGAAGAUAAGAUUUCAAGAUUCCAGCUAAGACUCACCUCUCUGCAAAUCUUUCUUUUGAGAGCAUCUUCACCAGGAGGAGAUUCCAUCUCAAGAGACCACUUUCACUGCUCAUCUGUAAGAAGCAACUCUUCAUCCGUUCAAGUUUGAUCAUG